rnacentral:piRNA from 1 species
UAGCGUUAGCUGGAGAGAGGCCG